GAAGAUGCUGUAGCAUCCUCACCGGCUCUCAGCAGGGAAGUGGUCCUGGAGUGUCGGGUGUAAGCCUCCCCUCUCGUCAAGCCGGAGACUGCGCUUGUCAUUGAUCAAUUGAAGAAGCAAGACGCGAAUUUACAGAUAUUAGCAAUGAUGUGUGAAGUGAUGCCCACGAUUAACGAGGACACCCCAAUGAGCCAAAGGGGGUCCCAAAGCAGUGGCUCGGACUCAGACUCUCAUUUUGAGCAACUGAUGGUGAAUAUGCUAGAUGAAAGGGAUCGUCUUCUAGACACCCUUCGGGAGACCCAGGAAAGCCUCUCACUUGCCCAGCAAAGACUUCAGGAUGUCAUCUAUGACAGAGAUUCGCUCCAGAGACAGCUCAAUUCUGCCCUGCCUCAGGAUAUCGAAUCCCUAACAGGAGGUCUGACUGGUUCUAAGGGGGCUGAUCCACCGG